rnacentral:rRNA from 1 species
UUAAGCGACUAAGCGUACACGGUGGAUGCCCUGGCAGUCAGAGGCGAUGAAGGACGUGCUAAUCUGCGAUAAGCGUCGGUAAGGUGAUAUGAACCGUUAUAACCGGCGAUUUCCGAAUGGGGAAACCCAGUGUGAUUUGUCACACUAUCAUUAACUGAAUCCAUAGGUUAAUGAGGCGAACCGGGGGAACUGAAACAUCUAAGUACCCCGAGGAAAAGAAAUCAACCGAGAUUCCCCCAGUAGCGGCGAGCGAACGGGGAGGAGCCCAGAGCCUGAAUCAGUGUGUGUGUUAGUGGAAGCGUCUGGAAAGGCGCGCGAUACAGGGUGACAGCCCCGUACACAAAAAUGCACAUGCUGUGAGCUCGAUGAGUAGGGCGGGACACGUGGUAUCCUGUCUGAAUAUGGGGGGACCAUCCUCCAAGGCUAAAUACUCCUGACUGACCGAUAGUGAACCAGUACCGUGAGGGAAAGGCGAAAAGAACCCCGGCGAGGGGAGUGAAAAAGAACCUGAAACCGUGUACGUACAAGCAGUGGGAGCACGCUUCGGCGUGUGACUGCGUACCUUUUGUAUAAUGGGUCAGCGACUUAUAUUCUGUAGCAAGGUUAACCGAAUAGGGGAGCCGAAGGGAAACCGAGUCUUAACUGGGCGUUAAGUUGCAGGGUAUAGACCCGAAACCCGGUGAUCUAGCCAUGGGCAGGUUGAAGGUUGGGUAACACUAACUGGAGGACCGAACCGACUAAUGUUGAAAAAUUAGCGGAUGACUUGUGGCUGGGGGUGAAAGGCCAAUCAAACCGGGAGAUAGCUGGUUCUCCCCGAAAGCUAUUUAGGUAGCGCCUCGUGAAUUCAUCUCCGGGGGUAGAGCACUGUUUCGGCAAGGGGGUCAUCCCGACUUACCAACCCGAUGCAAACUGCGAAUACCGGAGAAUGUUAUCACGGGAGACACACGGCGGGUGCUAACGUCCGUCGUGAAGAGGGAAACAACCCAGACCGCCAGCUAAGGUCCCAAAGUCAUGGUUAAGUGGGAAACGAUGUGGGAAGGCCCAGACAGCCAGGAUGUUGGCUUAGAAGCAGCCAUCAUUUAAAGAAAGCGUAAUAGCUCACUGGUCGAGUCGGCCUGCGCGGAAGAUGUAACGGGGCUAAACCAUGCACCGAAGCUGCGGCAGCGACACUAUGUGUUGUUGGGUAGGGGAGCGUUCUGUAAGCCUGUGAAGGUGGCCUGUGAGGGUUGCUGGAGGUAUCAGAAGUGCGAAUGCUGACAUAAGUAACGAUAAAGCGGGUGAAAAGCCCGCUCGCCGGAAGACCAAGGGUUCCUGUCCAACGUUAAUCGGGGCAGGGUGAGUCGACCCCUAAGGCGAGGCCGAAAGGCGUAGUCGAUGGGAAACAGGUUAAUAUUCCUGUACUUGGUGUUACUGCGAAGGGGGGACGGAGAAGGCUAUGUUGGCCGGGCGACGGUUGUCCCGGUUUAAGCGUGUAGGCUGAUUUUCCAGGCAAAUCCGGAAAAUCAAGGCUGAGGCGUGAUGACGAGGCACUACGGUGCUGAAGCAACAAAUGCCCUGCUUCCAGGAAAAGCCUCUAAGCAUCAGGUAACAUCAAAUCGUACCCCAAACCGACACAGGUGGUCAGGUAGAGAAUACCAAGGCGCUUGAGAGAACUCGGGUGAAGGAACUAGGCAAAAUGGUGCCGUAACUUCGGGAGAAGGCACGCUGAUAUGUAGGUGAAGCGACUUGCUCGUGGAGCUGAAAUCAGUCGAAGAUACCAGCUGGCUGCAACUGUUUAUUAAAAACACAGCACUGUGCAAACACGAAAGUGGACGUAUACGGUGUGACGCCUGCCCGGUGCCGGAAGGUUAAUUGAUGGGGUUAGCGGUAACGCGAAGCUCUUGAUCGAAGCCCCGGUAAACGGCGGCCGUAACUAUAACGGUCCUAAGGUAGCGAAAUUCCUUGUCGGGUAAGUUCCGACCUGCACGAAUGGCGUAAUGAUGGCCAGGCUGUCUCCACCCGAGACUCAGUGAAAUUGAACUCGCUGUGAAGAUGCAGUGUACCCGCGGCAAGACGGAAAGACCCCGUGAACCUUUACUAUAGCUUGACACUGAACAUUGAGCCUUGAUGUGUAGGAUAGGUGGGAGGCUUUGAAGUGUGGACGCCAGUCUGCAUGGAGCCGACCUUGAAAUACCACCCUUUAAUGUUUGAUGUUCUAACGUUGACCCGUGAUCCGGGUUGCGGACAGUGUCUGGUGGGUAGUUUGACUGGGGCGGUCUCCUCCUAAAGAGUAACGGAGGAGCACGAAGGUUGGCUAAUCCUGGUCGGACAUCAGGAGGUUAGUGCAAUGGCAUAAGCCAGCUUGACUGCGAGCGUGACGGCGCGAGCAGGUGCAUCAUAGUGAUCCGGUGGUUCUGAAUGGAAGGGCCAUCGCUCAACGGAUAAAAGGUACUCCGGGGAUAACAGGCUGAUACCGCCCAGAGUUCAUAUCGACGGCGGUGUUUGGCACCUCGAUGUCGGCUCAUCACAUCCUGGGGCUGAAGUAGGUCCCAAGGGUAUGGCUGUUCGCCAUUUAAAGUGGUACGCGAGCUGGGUUUAGAACGUCGUGAGACAGUUCGGUCCCUAUCUGCCGUGGGCGCUGGAGAACUGAGGGGGCUGCUCCUAGUACGAGGACCGGGUGGACGCAUCACUGGUGUUCGGGUUGUCAUGCCAAUGGCACUGCCCGGUAGCUAAAUGCGGAAGAGAUAAGUGCUGAAAGCAUCUAAGCACGAAACUUGCCCCGAGAUGAGUUCUCCCUGACUCCUUGAGAGUCCUGAAGGAACGUUGAAGACGACGACGUUGAUAGGCCGGGUGUGUAAGCGCAGCGAUGCGUUGAGCUAACCGGUACUAAUGAACCGUGAGGCUUAACCU